rnacentral:rRNA from 1 species
AUUGAUUUUAUGCUUGCAUAAAUGAUUUUUGGAUUCGGAGCGAGUGGCGAACUGGUGAGUAACACGUGGGUAACCUGCCCCGAAGCGGGGGAUAACAUUUGGAAACAAAUGCUAAUACCGCAUAAUUAGUCAGAACCGCAUGGUUCCGACUUGAAAGAUGGCUCUGCUAUCACUUCGGGAUGGACCCGCGCCGUAUUAGUUAGUUGGUGAGAUAAAAGCCCACCAAGACGAUGAUACGUAGCCGACCUGAGAGGGUAAUCGGCCACAUUGGGACUGAGACACGGCCCAGACUCCUACGGGAGGCAGCAGUAGGGAAUCUUCCACAAUGGACGAAAGUCUGAUGGAGCAACGCCGCGUGAGUGAUGAAGGGUUUCGGCUCGUAAAACUCUGUUGUUAAAGAAGAACAAGCAUGAGAGUAACUGUUCAUGCUUUGACGGUAUUUAACCAGAAAGCCACGGCUAACUACGUGCCAGCAGCCGCGGUAAUACGUAGGUGGCAAGCGUUGUCCGGAUUUAUUGGGCGUAAAGCGAGCGCAGGCGGUUUUGUAAGUCUGCUGUGAAAGCCCUCAGCUCAACUGAGGAAGUGCAGUGGAAACUACAAAACUUGAGUACAGAAGAGGAAAGUGGAACUCCAUGUGUAGCGGUGAAAUGCGUAGAUAUAUGGAAGAACACCAGUGGCGAAGGCGGCUUUCUGGUCUGUUACUGACGCUGAGGCUCGAAAGCAUGGGUAGCGAACAGGAUUAGAUACCCUGGUAGUCCAUGCCGUAAACGAUGAAUACUAGGUGUUGGAGGGUUUCCGCCCUUCAGUGCCGCAGCUAACGCAUUAAGUAUUCCGCCUGGGGAGUACGACCGCAAGGUUGAAACUCAAAGGAAUUGACGGGGGCCCGCACAAGUGGUGGAGCAUGUGGUUUAAUUCGAUGCUACGCGAAGAACCUUACCAGCUCUUGACAUCUUCUGCCAACCUAAGAGAUUAGGCGUUCCCUUCGGGGACAGAAUGACAGGUGGUGCAUGGUUGUCGUCAGCUCGUGUCGUGAGAUGUUGGGUUAAGUCCCGCAACGAGCGCAACCCUUAUUAUUAGUUGCCAGCAUUUAGUUGGGCACUCUAGUGAGACUGCCGGUGAUAAA